AUUGAACGCUGGCGGCAUGCCUUACACAUGCAAGUCGAACGGCAGCACGGGAGCAAUCCUGGUGGCGAGUGGCGAACGGGUGAGUAAUACAUCGGAACGUGCCCAAUCGUGGGGGAUAACGCAGCGAAAGCUGUGCUAAUACCGCAUACGAUCUACGGAUGAAAGCAGGGGGCCGCAAGGCCUUGCGCGAAUGGAGCGGCCGAUGGCAGAUUAGGUAGUUGGUGGGGUAAAGGCUCACCAAGCCAACGAUCUGUAGCUGGUCUGAGAGGACGACCAGCCACACUGGGACUGAGACACGGCCCAGACUCCUACGGGAGGCAGCAGUGGGGAAUUUUGGACAAUGGGCGCAAGCCUGAUCCAGCCAUGCCGCGUGCAGGAUGAAGGCCUUCGGGUUGUAAACUGCCUUUGUACGGAACGAAACGGCCUUUUCUAAUAAAGAGGGCUAAUGACGGUACCGUAAGAAUAAGCACCGGCUAACUACGUG
rnacentral:rRNA from 1 species